CUGCGGAGGGGGAUAACCCCGGAAAAACUGGGAAUAAUACCCCAUAGAUCAGGGAUGCUGGAAUGCCCCUUGGUUCAAAGGUCCGCCGCCACAGGAUGGGUCUGCGGCCGAUUAGGUUGUUGUUGGGGUAACGGCCCACCAAGCCAUUGAUCGGUACGGGUUGUGGGAGCAAGAGCCCGGAGAUGGAUUCUGAGACACGAAUCCAGGCUCUACGGGGCGCAGCAGGCGCGAAAACUUUACAAUGCGGGAAACCGUGAUAAGGGAACCCCGAGUGCCCGUAAAUUCGGGCUGUCCGUCAGUGUAAAUAACUGGCGAAGAAAGGGCCGGGCAAGACCGGUGCCAGCCGCCGCGGUAAUACCGGCGUCUCGAGUGGUGGCCGCUAUUACUGGGCUUAAAGCGUCCGUAGCUGGGUUGUUAAGUCUCCUGGGAAAUCCACCGGCUCAACCGAUGGGCGUUCAGGAGAUACUGGCAACCUAGGGACCGGGAGAGGUGAGAGGUACUCCAGGGGUAGGAGUGAAAUCCUGUAAUCCUUGGGGGACCACCUGUGGCGAAGGCGUCUCACCAGAACGGCUCCGACAGUGAGGGACGAAAGCUGGGGGAGCAAACCGGAUUAGAUACCCGGGUAGUCCCAGCUGUAAACGAUGCGCGUUAGGUGUAUCGGUGACCACGAGUCACCGAGGUGCCGAAGAGAAAUCGUGAAACGUGCCGCCUGGGAAGUACGGUCGCAAGGCUGAAACUUAAAGGAAUUGGCGGGGGAGCACAAG
rnacentral:rRNA from 1 species